GAUGAACGCUGGCGGCGUGCCUAACACAUGCAAGUCGAGCGAUUCUCUUCGGAGAAGAGCGGCGGACGGGUGAGUAACGCGUGGGUAACCUACCCUGUACACACGGAUAACAUACCGAAAGGUAUGCUAAUACGGGAUGAUAUAUAGAAAUCGCAUGAUUUUUAUAUCAAAGAUUUAUCGGUACAGGAUGGACCCGCGUCUGAUUAGCUUGUUGGCGGGGUAMCGGCCCACCAAGGCGACGAUCAGUAGCCGACCUGAGAGGGUGAUCGGCCACAUGGAA
rnacentral:rRNA from 1 species